rnacentral:rRNA from 1 species
AGAUACCCUACUAUGCCCAACUGUAAACACAGAUUUUUCUUUACCCGCCAGAGAAUAACGAGCUAAAGCUUAAAACUCAAAGGACUUGGCGGCACUCCAUACCACCCUAGAGGGGCCUGUCACAUAAUCGAUAACCCACGAUACACCUCACCUCUUUUGCUUAGCCUAUAUACCGCCGUCGCCAGCCCAUCUUGAUAGGGAAAACCAAAUGGGCCCAAUAGCCUCGCCACACUAGCACGACAGGUCAAGGUGUAGCCAACAAAGCGGCAAAUGAUGGACCACAUUGCCCCCAAAGCCAAACCAAAAUUGUAGUGAAACACACACUUUAAGGUGAAUUUAACAGUAAGGUGAACAAGAAAACUCGCCUAAAGACUGCUCUGGAGCGUGCACACACCGCCCGUCAC